rnacentral:rRNA from 1 species
GAUGAACGCUAGCUACAGGCUUAACACAUGCAAGUCGAGGGGAAACGACAGAGGGAAGCUUUGCUUUCCUUUGGGCGUCGACCGGCGCACGGGUGAGUAACGCGUAUCCAACCUUCCCGCAAGUAAGGGAUAACCCGUAGAAAUGCGGCCUAAUACCUUAUGUUUUCCUUAGAGGGCAUCUGAUGAGGAACAAAGAUCCGUCGCUUGCGGAUGGGGAUGCGUCUGAUUAGUUAGUCGGCGGGGUAACGGCCCACCGAGACGACGAUCAGUAGGGGUUCUGAGAGGAAAGUCCCCCACAUUGGAACUGAGACACGGUCCAAACUCCUACGGGAGGCAGCAGUGAGGAAUAUUGGUCAAUGGGCGAGAGCCUGAACCAGCCAAGUAGCGUGCAGGAAGACGGCCCUAUGGGUUGUAAACUGCUUUUAUAAGGGAAUAAAGUGAGUCUCGUGAGACUUUUUGCAUGUACCUUAUGAAUAAGGACCGGCUAAUUCCGUG